UAUUGGUCAAUGGGCGCAAGCCUGAACCAGCCAUCCCGCGUGAAGGAAGAAGGCGCUAUGCGUUGUAAACUUCUUUUGCAGGUCAAGAAUGUUUCGCACGUGUGCGGAAUUGACGGUAACCUGUGAAUAAGCAUCGGCUAACUCCGUGCCAGCAGCCGCGGUAAUACGGAGGAUGCGAGCGUUAUCCGGAUUUAUUGGGUUUAAAGGGUGCGUAGGCGGAUUGAUAAGUCAGUGGUGAAAUCCUGCAGCUUAACUGUAGCAUUGCCGUUGAUACUGUCAGUCUUGAGUAUGGUUAAGGUAGGCGGAAUGUGUAAUGUAGCGGUGAAAUGCUUAGAUAUUACACAGAACACCGAUUGCGAAGGCAGCUUACUGAACCAUAACUGACGCUGAGGCACGAAAGCGUGGGGAGCGAACAGG
rnacentral:rRNA from 1 species